GGGACGGAGAAGGCUAUGUUGGCCGGGCGACGGUUGUCCCGGUUUAAGCGUGUAGGUGUGUGUUCCAGGUAAAUCCGGUUCACUUUAACACUGAGGCGUGAUGACGAGGCACUACGGUGCUGAAGCAACAAAUGCCCUGCUUCCAGGAAAAGCCUCUAAGCAUCAGGUAACAUCAAAUCGUACCCCAAACCGACACAGGUGGUCAGGUAGAGAAUACCAAGGCGCUUGAGAGAACUCGGGUGAAGGAACUAGGCAAAAUGGUGCCGUAACUUCGGGAGAAGGCACGCUGACAC
rnacentral:rRNA from 1 species